CAAGAACGCGGUACUACGAUAAGCUUAGGAAGUGAAACAAAAUCUAAUCAAACACUGUUAGUAAUACCAAAAUUGAAUUUAUAUCAAAUUUUAACCAAAGUUGCAGUUUUCAACUAUCAUCAACUGCAGACCUGCAGUUUCGAUCAAUAGCAAUUCAAACAAAGUUCUCCCAAUUUUCAUUAUAAGGAAAACGUUAAGGCGUAAUGAGUAGAUGAAGAAGAUCAACCGAAGUCAAGUGACAAGUAAUUGUUUAGGGAUUCAAUUUUUUUCCAUCUAAUUUUCCCUUUUUUUCCUUCGAUUGUUCAAUUAUCUUUGUUUAUAUUUCACAUUUUUGCAUUAUUGAUAAUUUUGUAUGAACAGUCAUGAUUGUGCGUCAAAUUCUAAUUACCUAGGGUUUCCAAUUCUUCUUCUUUCCUUGUUAUUUUCUUACUUUUGUCUUUAGAUUGUUCAAUAAUUUUCCUUCUUGUAUUGCUAAUUCAAGUAAUAGAUUAUUGAUUAACUGAUUUGAAGAAUCCAAACUAACUGUUGUGGUAUUUACAGCGAAACAGAGAUAUCUACCAGCAAGACUAAUGAUAAAGAAAAGAAUUCGUGUUCAGAUGACUUUGAUGACAGUACUGUCUAGGGCUGAUAUUAGUCUAGUGGAAUAUGGUGGCAUUUGCAACUAUACAAUUCCAAGAGUUGCCUCGCGUAAUCAAUAUAACAGCACUUCCUAUGAAUGAUGUUGAGAAAUAUGGACUAAAGGCAAUUGAUUUCUCCUUGGUUAAUAAAGGAACGGGGGAUCGCUUAUAGUUUAUGCAAGGAUCAAAUGGAAACUAUAGGAUUAUAAUGAGAUGACUGGAUGAAGCAUUGACCAGAUGUUGCAUAGGUGAAGAAGAAGAAGAUUAACAUCUCUUCCUCAUUUCCUUAUCCAUCUUUAUAUAUAGGAUGGAAAAGGAAGCUACAUAUUACGAAGAACAAUCAAGAACUAGUAUUUUUUUUUUUUGACGGUAGGAACUAGUAUUAGUUAGAGAUGAAUUUUGUUUUUUUUUUCUUUUGCAAAAAGAUUGGAAAAUUGUUUCUGAAGCAAACGAUGUGAGGAUUUGUUAUUUCAAAUCCAUUAUCAUGUACAGAUAAUUAUUAUCAAUAUUUAUUAUGUUUUUUCUUAUUAUGGUGGUCUAUUUCAUUUUUCUCGUAAGUAAUGUAUUGUAACAAAUUUAGGCAAAUAAACUUUUCAUGGCCACGAAUGAAUUCGUAGCAAUGGAUUCUUUUUGAACACAUGACAGUUGUAGAUAGAAAAAAUCAUGGUUUGGAAUAUGAAUGGUGGUGGAGUUGUUAUUUUAA